GAGUUUGAUCUUGGCUCAGAUUGAACGCUGGCGGCAUGCCUUACACAUGCAAGUCGAACGGUAACAGGUCUUCGGAUGCUGACGAGUGGCGAACGGGUGAGUAAGUACAUCGGAACGUGCCCGAUCGUGGGGGAUAACGAAGCGAAAGCUUUGCUAAUACCGCAUAAGAUCUACGGAUGAAAGCAGGGGACCGCAAGGCCUUGCGCGAACGGAGCGGCCGAUGGCA
rnacentral:rRNA from 1 species